UAGAAUGUCAACUGUCAACAUAUUGUCAAUUAUAUUUGAGUAGUCUUGACAACAGCUUGUUUUCAAUAGGUUAUAAACCUACAUCAAACUAUCGCGAAAUUAUUUACUUUCUUCAUAACUCAGAGAAAAGUCAUUCUAAGCAGUAGUCUUUUGUUUUUCAAGAAGUGGAAUCCGUUCGUAUUCUCCGUAAUAAGAUAUUGUCACCGCUAACGUGUGAAAGUAAUCCCGAACUAUGCGUCUUAUAAUUCUCGAAGAUGCCAGCAUCGUUGCCGACUGGGCCGCCAGAUUCGUUCUCCAGCGGAUCACGCAGUUCGCUCCGGGUCCGGGAAGACACUUCGUGCUGGGCCUGCCCACCGGUGGGACGCCCCUCGGCAUGUACAAACGGUUGAUAGAGUUCCACAAGGAAGGGAAGUUAUCUUUCAAAUAUGUGACCACUUUCAACAUGGACGAGUAUGUGGGUCUUCCCCGUGACCAUCCCGAGUCCUACCACUACUACAUGUGGAACGAGUUCUUCAAACACAUCGACAUAGAGCCGAGCAACGCGCACGUGCUCGACGGCAACGCAUCCGAUUUAGUGCUCGAGUGUCAACGCUUUGAGAAACUCAUACAGGAGGCUGGCGGAGUGCAUUUGUUCAUCGGAGGUAUCGGUCCGGACGGUCACAUCGCGUUCAACGAACCGGGCUCCUCGCUGGUGUCUCGGACGCGAGUGAAGACCCUGGCCUACGACACCCUGGACGCCAACAAGCGGUUCUUUGACAACGACAUCAGCAAGGUGCCCCGACAGGCGCUCACCGUUGGAGUCGGAACUGUUAUGGACGCUAAAGAGGUCAUGAUCCUCAUAACAGGAGUGCACAAGUCCUUGGCGCUUGCCAAGGCUGUGGAGGAAGGCGUGAACCACAUGUGGACGGUGUCGGCCUUCCAGCAACAUCCUCAAGCGCUUUUCGUGUGUGACGAAGACGCCACACUCGAGUUGAGGGUCAAAACAGUUAAAUACUUUAAGGUUAGUGGCGCUUUUUUUUCUUUGUCUUAUUAUUAUCAUAAAAGGUAAGUUUGUAGGGUAACUAUGUAGUUACAUAAAUAAAUUUUUAUGGAUAUAUCGAUGAUUGAGAAAUUAUAUUAAUUUUUAAUAUUGUCUACUUUUGUGACAAACAUCAUUUAUAUAUAGUUAGCAAUGACGCACCGUGCGCAAGCACUACGGGUGGCCCCCGCGCGCGCGCACAUCACCCGCGUUUUCCAAUCGAUCGGCCGGCCAGUCCGUAACCUGUCUUGUCGUCGGAUGCAUGUCGUAUUUUACUUGCUAACCCGCUUCGCAGUGCUUGCGCAUAGUUUGCUUAACGUUUAAGUCUAGUUUAAAUUUGAAUACAUAUACGCUUUAAGUUCUUCGUUGUUAGCCAUUAAAUUUAGUAUUGAAAACAAGAAUAAAUAUGUAAAUGAUUAAUUAAAGAAAUAAUAAUAAUUUUUUUGACGUUAAGUGUGAUUGAUGUAAGUGGCAACCCAGGUUCACGUUGAAAAUAUGUGACCCUUCGCUAGUUUUGUAAUAUGGCUGCCCUUAGUACAAAUCCAGGUAUUAAUCAAAAAUAUCUAUUAGGAUAGGAUAUCUACUAACAUAGGAUGGUGCAAACAUACAAUACUCUCUAUCCCCAAUAUAUAAAUAAAUAAUUAAAUCUAAAAUCAUGUUUUUCCUUUACAUUGCAAAUGCUAUGUAUAAAUAAUUAAAAAAAAAAGGAGGGGAUGAAAAGGCAAAGGCUUUAACUAAUGCUAUUCGGUAUAGAUAAUUGUAAAUGUUAGUUGCACUAUACUUAGUUAUUAUCUACGUCGCAAAGGACUUUUUGACGGGAACGCGAGGAGUGAAGUUGUGUAAUUUGUUUUAUUUUGUCUAUUUAGUGUUUCUUCGGGUUUAAAUGUGUAAUAAUGGUGGUUUAUUAACCAUUUAAUAUCUGUGAAAGUGCCAAAUGUGGGAAAAUGAAAUAAAGCCGCUGGACGUAACUUCUCGGGAUCCUCCAAAAAAUCCACUGAAAAAAUCUUAGUAAAUGACCACCAUUUUACUGAGAUUAGAUUUCAUCUCAUAUCAUCUCAUUUAAUUUAAUCCCAGUUGAUUAAUGUCUCAAAUUAAUCAUUUUCAUUUCAUUUCACUCCAUAAUAUCAUUUUUCAUAAAAUUAAGAAUAUUCAUUAAAAUAAGACAUGACUUAAAGGUCUCAGUAACCAGGUCAUAAAAUCUCUUUAAAAAAAAUACGUCGCAAAGAAAAUUUAAAAUUUGGUUAAUGCAUGUUUUCUUGCAUAAUAGACUAAUAAUUUUUUUUAUUAAUUAACUGUAAGCUAUUGGGAGCACGGUUUGUAUGCGCGGGGUACACUCAGUCCACUAAUUUCUGUAAUAGCUUCGGUGAUUGCUAAACUCUUAUGGAGUAGAAUAAUCCACGCAAUUGUUUCUAAAAAAAUUCAAUAGAUUUGGGAUAACUAAAAACAGUUUUUGGGGCGCGAUUAAUUUUAGAUUAUCUAUGAAAUCUAUUUCUUCUGGCUUUUGUAAAAUAUUUUUGGUAUAUAAAAAAAUACAAUACAUAUAUUAUAUGCAUAUUUCAUUACGAAUGUUUUUUGCCUGUGUAACGAGUUUAAUUUAGCAAUUAUAACGAGUUUAAUGGUGGAACACAAUAAACUGAUAGAAGCAAAACAAUGAGACACAUUCCAUAUUUAGUUCUAAGGACAUGGUGAAAAACAUUAUGCUUGUAUAUUGUACCUAUGUAUCAUUUAUAUAAUAAAAACAAUGCGGUUACCUAAUUAAAA